GAGGUGGCUGAGAGUCAGCAGGUCCCUCAUUCAGUCUCAGUUUCCUCCUGUUUCUCACAGUAACGAGCAUCUUACCAUGAUGAGUGUGAUAAUCAUUUUUCUUUCAACAGGGCCCCUGAAUGCGAGCCAACUGCUUCAUUUGGUUCUCAGCUGAAGAAAUAGAUCUGUUCCUAUGCCGGAGAGAAAACCAGAUGUCCUGGAUUGAGAAAUGGUAUCUCUACAUGUACUUCAGAGGCGUUAUAAGGGAUCCUCAAGGGCAAACUUUCACUGGAUGCCUAGUGAAGGCCAAGUACUGGAAUUGAAGACAGAAACAGAGUUUCUGCCUUCAAGGAGCUCACAGACAAGCAAGAAACACUGACACGGGACAAUUGAAUGCAAAUAAGGUGUUGGAAUUCAGCAUUUAAAGCCUCCUCCUGUCUGAGGAAAGCAGAAGAGGAGCUCAAGAGUAUAUCGUGAAUCUUACUACAUCUGGAAUAAAGAUCAGGCCAGCUGAUGCUUAAAUUAAAAGCACAGCUUGCCUUUCCUCCCUCCUCUCACCUCACGAAUAAAGUCGAGCAACAGGCAUUGAACUGGUGAAGGACACAUUCAUCAGAAAUCUAUCUUCCUCACCGUGACUGUUUUUCUGUUGAACAGCGAUGAGUGGUGGUAGGCAUUUUCGAUAUCUGGCUAAAGAGAAGUUGAGUUGGGGAACAUGAAGUUUGGAUUGAGCGGCAUAUAUUUCUGCAGUUUGCAGAAUUUCCAUGUUUAGUUAGGUUAUUAUUAGGCCUCCUGGUGUAGGAACGGCUUCCAGGAAUGCUCCUUUCCCUACCAUGUCAAUUCAUCUGGUGCCAUCUCAUAAAAGUGCAGGGCCAAGGGCAAAGCUGUGAUAGGACCAUGUGAUAGGACCAUGCACAGUAGCAGGACCAGAAAUAGAUGUAAGUAAUGGAAGAGAAACAGGAUUUCAAAUGUAGGGAGGCAAAAGCUAGUCUUCAGAAAGUUCUUCUAAUCAUCAGAUGUGUUCCAUUGUAAGUGGAAGAUGCAGUUCUCAUUGACACCUAGCUAAAAUAGAAGUUUGCUACUAUCAAAAAUAUACUUGAUAGUACAGUGUACACAAUUAUUAAUACAUCAUAUAUUUUUCUAUUUUUUAUGGGAAUCUUGCAAGAUAAAAUUAAUCACAAUACCUGGGUUUAUAGGGCAUAGACCGUAGCAGUAUUACCUAUGGCACGAACAUCUGUGUGUGAAAUUCCAUGUUUAUGUAUCAUAUCAGAUCAGAUCACCUCUUAGCAUAUCUGAUGCUUCUCGUCCUGACAAGGUCUGUUGGUUGAUGAAAAGGAACACAACAUUGCCACAGACAUAGCAAAAUGGCCUGAAGAAGCAAGGGUUCCUGUGCCAAAACUCCCAUGCGUAUUCAUUAAUAAAUCAAUGUAAUGUAAAAAUAAAAUAAAGUAAUGUAA
rnacentral:lncRNA from 1 species